UCAAAUUUAAUUAGGAUUUUUUUCGUAUCGUUUUGGGACUUCAAAUCUUUUGUGGAAAGAGGACGAGAAUGGGUGGGCGGCACCACGCCCCAGUGGACUAAAUGUAAAUGAAAAUUGACGCAAGGCAAGUUUAUUAAAAUGCGAUUUGCAUAAGCAUGUGGACGGUCGGGGGAGGGGAGCAAAGAAGACUGUUAUCAUACUACUGUGCUUCACCCACCGCAGAGUAUCGCUAAUGAGACAUCUGCCAUAACUAGAACCACACAACUUCGUAAUGCAGAGAAAUGCAAACCAGACACCGCACAAACAACCACAACAUUCGGCCACUUGGAUGACGCCUCGCUGUGGCAUCGAUUGUAGGCAGAGGAGGGCUACUGACUCCCCCAAUCCCCCAGUUCCCCAGUUCCCGUGCCACCGUGCCACCGAGCCACCGAGUUGCCCGAUCCGGCAAUUGACCCGCGGGCCUGUGGCAGCGACUCCGCCUCAACUGCUUCCAUAUGCUCCAUGUGCCGGGCGAUGUGCGGUUGUAAAUACAAUUUACUCCACUCGGUCGCACACAUUCCGAUGGCGCAUAAUUUUAUUGGCCUGCCCGUGAUGCACUGGGAUGCGCUCCCUUGACUUCGAUGACAGCAAACAGAAUCAACAGUCCCUAGGUGGCACCCUCGACGAGCCCAUCCCCCCACCAGUCCAUCUGCCCCAUCUGCAUCUGCCGGCAACAUUCUAAUGAGAUAUGGCCCCGGAGUCACCAUGCAUUUUUCUAGGCCCAACAUUUGCAAACAGCAAACGGAUGGGCAACCAUCUGCCAACACCGACGCCCUGGGUUUCGUCCAUGAGAUGCCCCUUGUGCCCACACUGGGAGAAAAUAAUAGAACAAACUAAUGUUAAUAAAAAAUAUAAUAGUAA